GAUGAACGCUGGCGGCGUGCCUAAUACAUGCAAGUCGAGCGAACAGACGAGGAGCUUGCUCCUCGGACGUUAGCGGCGGACGGGUGAGUAACACGUGGAUAACCUACCUAUAAGACUGGGAUAACUUCGGGAAACCGGAGCUAAUACCGGAUAAGAUAUUGAACCGCAUGGUUCAAUAGUGAAAGACGGUUUUGCUGUCUCUUAUAGAUGGAUCCGCGCCGCAUUAGCUAGUUGGUAAGGUAACGGCUUACCAAGGCAACGAUGCGUAGCCGACCUGAGAGGGUGAUCGGCCACACUGGAACUGAGACACGGUCCAGACUCCUACGGGAGGCAGCAGUAGGGAAUCUUCCGCAAUGGGCGAAAGCCUGACGGAGCAACGCCGCGUGAGUGAUGAAGGUCUUCGGAUCGUAAAACUCUGUUAUUAGGGAAGAACAAAUGUGUAAGUAACUAUGCACGUCUUGACGGUACCUAAUCAGAAAGCCACGGCUAACUACGUG
rnacentral:rRNA from 1 species